rnacentral:rRNA from 1 species
AACGAACGCUGGCGGCAUGCCUAACACAUGCAAGUCGAACGAGAUCUUCGGGUCUAGUGGCGCACGGGUGCGUAACGCGUGGGAAUCUGCCCUUGGGUUCGGAAUAACAGUUGGAAACGACUGCUAAUACCGGAUGAUGACGAAAGUCCAAAGAUUUAUCGCCAGAGGAUGAGCCCGCGUAGGAUUAGCUAGUUGGUGUGGUAAAGGCGCACCGAGGCGACGAUCCUUAGCUGGUCUGAGAGGAUGAUCAGCCACACUGGGACUGAGACACGGCCCAGACUCCUACGGGAGGCAGCAGUGGGGAAUAUUGGACAAUGGGCGAAAGCCUGAUCCAGCAAUGCCGCGUGAGUGAUGAAGGCCUUAAGGUUGUAAAGCUCUUUUACCCGGGAUGAUAAUGACAGUACCGGGAGAAUAAGCUCCGGCUAACUCCGUGCCAGCCGCCGCCGUAA